GCUUGUGGUAGGCAAAGUUGGCUUUAGAGAUAUAUAGUCUGAACGUGUGGCUGCUUAAUGGUUUAAUGGAGAACAUCAAUAUCAGAGAGUGGCCGAGUCUGUCACAAUGCUCUUCCUUGCUACCUGAGCACCAGGGACCUCCUGCAUACUUCUCGCUGGAUAUGUCAGUGUGCUGUGGUUGACUUGAAAAUGAAAUUGGAAGAGUUGCUCAUGUGCAACUGCAGCUGGCUUGGAGGAGCAAUGCAAUGUCAAGGAGCAGACAUAAGCCUCCAAACCUUGGCAUGGACAGCACGUGGAGUUGGUGUGGGACAGAGAUGGCAGGGACAGCAUUCUUUCCGCUAACCAACUCCGCAGCGCAGAAGGGGAAAACAGUGCUGUGAACUUGCUGGAACGAGGCGAAAUGUGAGUGG